rnacentral:rRNA from 1 species
CGCGGCCUAUCAGCUUGUUGGUGAGGUAAUGGCUCACCAAGGCGACGACGGGUAGCCGGCCUGAGAGGGCGACCGGCCACACUGGGACUGAGACACGGCCCAGACUCCUACGGGAGGCAGCAGUGGGGAAUAUUGCACAAUGGGCGAAAGCCUGAUGCAGCGACGCCGCGUGAGGGAUGACGGCCUUCGGGUUGUAAACCUCUUUCAGCAGGGAAGAAGCGAAAGUGACGGUACCUGCAGAAGAAGCGCCGGCUAACUACGUGCCAGCAGCCGCGGUAAUACGUAGGGCGCAAGCGUUGUCCGGAAUUAUUGGGCGUAAAGAGCUCGUAGGCGGCUUGUCACGUCGGGUGUGAAAGCCCGGGGCUUAACCCCGGGUCUGCAUUCGAUACGGGCUAGCUAGAGUGUGGUAGGGGAGAUCGGAAUUCCUGGCGUAGCGGUGAAAUGCGCAGAUAUCAGGAGGAACACCGGUGGCGAAGGCGGAUCUCUGGGCCAUUACUGACGCUGAGGAGCGAAAGCGUGGGGAGUGAACAGGAUUAGAUACCCUGGUAGUCCACGCCGUAAACGGUGGGAACUAGGUGUUGGCGACAUUCCACGUCGUCGGUGCCGCAGCUAACGCAUUAA